rnacentral:rRNA from 1 species
AUGCCGCGUGAAGGAUUAAGGUCCUCUGGAUUGUAAACUUCUUUUAUAUGGGACGAAAAAAGGGCAUUCUUGUUCACUUGACGGUACCAUAUGAAUAAGCACCGGCUAACUCCGUGCCAGCAGCCGCGGUAAUACGGAGGGUGCAAGCGUUAUCCGGAUUCACUGGGUUUAAAGGGUGCGUAGGCGGGUAGAUAAGUCAGUGGUGAAAUCUCGGAGCUUAACUCCGAAACUGCCAUUGAUACUAUUUAUCUUGAAUAUUGUGGAGGUUUGCGGAAUAUGUCAUGUAGCGGUGAAAUGCUUAGAUAUGACAUAGAACACCUAUUGCGAAGGCAGCAGGCUACACAUAUAUUGACGCUGAGGCACGAAAGCGUGGGGAUCAAACAGGAUUAGAUACCCUGGUAGUCCACGCCCUAAACGAUGAUUACUCGACAUACGCGAUACACUGUGUGUGUCUG